GCGGUAUCUUGACCGUGCAAAGGUAGCAUAAUCAUUAGUUUCUUAAUUGGGAACUUGUAUGAAUGGUUGGACAAAGAAAAAUCUGUCUCUUGCACUGAAAUUGAAUUUAACUUCUAAGUGAAAAGGCUUAGAUUACCCAGAGGGACGAUAAGACCCUAUAAAGCUUUAUAAAUUUAUUAAUUUCGUUUAUUUUUUAUUAUAAUAAUGAUGAUAAGAGAAUUUAUUUGGUUGGGGCAACCGAAGUAUAAUUUUAAAUAACUGCUAUAAUUUAAUACAAUGAUUUUUGUCUUAUACAAUAAUUGAUCCUCAAAGAGAUUAAAGACCAAGUUACUUUAGGGAUAACAGCGUAAUUUAUCCUGAGAGUUCUUAUCAAAGGAAAAGUUUGCGACCUCGAUG
rnacentral:rRNA from 1 species